CACCUUGUGGUGUAGUUGGCUAUCACGUUCGGCUGUAAAUGUCUCAUUCAUAUACCGAACGGUCACCGGCUCGAUUCCGGUCGAGGGGA
rnacentral:tRNA from 1 species